AGCUUUGUUCAAAAUAUUUACAAUUGCUUUCUCCAAAUGUUGAAAUUUUCUUCCUGUCCAGAGUUGGUCACACAAACUACUUGAAAAAUCGAUUUAAAUUGAGACUCUUGAAGUAGGCUACAAGCAAUUUGAUAAUCAGUAAUAGUUUCAAGAUGAUGUUGUCAUGGAAACCGCUUAUUAUUCUUAAAAAUUUUGCACGAAAUUAAUAAUAUAAUGGAUUGAUAUACUUAUAAUUUGAUAUCAUGAUCCAUGAAUAUAACGAAGUGUUCAUAUUCCCGACAAUUGUAUAUCAUUUGUUUGCAAAACUGUGUAUCAGAUGCAUUAAAUUGAUCGUCAACUUAUCCCACGACUUGAAUGGAAAAACUGAUAUCUAGACGUGUAUUGCAACUUGGAAGCAAUUUCUUGAUCGUGUAACGUCCGAGUUUCUCCGAUUUAGUUUCGAUGAAUAAUUGAUUUCCUUAAUUUGAAAGUUACGUGUCACAUGUGGUACAGAUAUGUCACAUUUAAUAAGAGUUUAACACGUGUUGACAGUAUUUAUGAACGAUGUGGAAGUAAAGAUGGAUGUUUUCUAAGCCAAUUAUAUGUUAUAGGUGGUAUGGAGCUUUACCAAUGUCUCGGUUCUACUAUAUUCUACAAAUUUAGGUGUUGGAGUUUAAAUUUGUGGUAAAAGAUGCCAAAAAAAUCUGCAACGUAUCGUAAUAUCUGAAACGUUAGUGUGUCGGCAAUAGUCUAAUGAUGACAUUUUACAAGAACGUCUGAAAAUCACUGGAAAAUAUCUAAAUUUCCAACCCUGUAAAGCAAAAAUGAUUAAUAUAAUUGGUGUUGCAUGAUCAAACAAUUGUCGGGAUCAAACAAGGCUUGCAGAUUCUCAUACAUGAGAUGUGCAUGAAAUAAUUUGAAAAAAACCUUCAACAGCAACUAUACGUAUUAUAAAGCUUUACUUGAGCUUUGAAGGAUGAAAUCGCAGAAAACUACUUUGAAGUAGUGGAAGGACUUUGCAUUAAUUGGACUUCGAAGUGCUUCCGCUUGCACUGUUUUCCCUCAACAAGUCGCAGCUGCCCGAAACUCCAAUCCUUUGAAAAAAUAUGCACGACAACUAAGAAACGUUGGAAUUCAUUAGCCCUAAGGAAAAGAAAGUUAUAUGCAAUCAUAUAAACAGAAGAGCUUCAGGUAGUGUUGUCAAUUUGGUCUUAAGAUAAAUCUUUGGUAGAUAACUUAUGAUUUCACUAAUAGUUGACUAUCAAGUAUUUCAAAAUAAUGUGUUUUUGUUUGUAUUAUCCUACCGUGAGUAAGAACAAUAAAUAUAACACGAUUUAAGAUUUAAUUUAUCAAAAGCUGUAAA